GGCUCUGUGGCGCAAUGGAUAGCGCAUUGGACUUCUAAUUCAAAGGUUGUGGGUUCGAGUCCCACCAGAGUCA